rnacentral:rRNA from 1 species
CAAGAGCGUAUGUAAAAGUUGUUGCAGUUAAAAAGCUCGUAGUUGAACCUUGGGUUUGGUUGGCCGGUCCGCUUUUUUGCGAGUACUGGAUUCAACCGAGCCUUUCCUUCUGGCUAACCAGUCGUUUCGGCGGCUGGCGAACCAGGAUUUUUACUUUGAGAAAAUUAGAGUGUUCAAAGCAGGCAUUAGCUUGAAUAUAUUAGCAUGGAAUAAUAGAAUAGGACGUUAUGGUUCUAUUUUGUUGGUUUCUAGGACCAUCGUAAUGAUUAAUAGGGACGGUCGGGGGCAUCAGUAUUCAGUUGUCAGAGGUGAAAUCCUUGGAUUUACUGAAGACUAACUACUGCGAAAGCAUUUGCCAAGGACGUUUUCAUUAA